AAAAACUAUAAUAUAUUCGGAUUUAGUCUUAAGAAGAUUUACCGUUACUUCUAAUGAUAUAUUUGAAUAUUUGAUGGCAAAUCGAAUUCAAAUAACCAACAAGUUGUUGGUCCAAUAAUAAAUUUUUUAGAUAAAGGUAUUGAGUUUUAGACACGUUGGGAGAGAUUUCUUCGUCAAAUAAAAUGAAUUUAUUCUAGUGUGGGUCUCGCAUGUAGGAAAUGUAGGUCUUUUAAUUUUGAAUUUCCAAAUAUUCAAAAAAAAA
rnacentral:sRNA from 1 species